rnacentral:rRNA from 1 species
CCUACGGGAGGCAGCAGUGGGGGAUAUUGCACAAUGGGGGGAACCCUGAUGCAGCGACGCCGCGUGGGUGAAGAAGCGCCUCGGCGCGUAAAGCCCUGUCAGCAGGGAAGAAAAUGACGGUACCUGAAGAAGAAGCCCCGGCUAACUACGUGCCAGCAGCCGCGGUAAUACGUAGGGGGCAAGCGUUAUCCGGAUUUACUGGGUGGAAAGGGGGCGCAGACGGCGAUGCAAGCCAGGAGUGAAAGCCCGGGGCCCACCCCCUGGACUGCUCUUGGAACUGCGUGGCUGGAGUGCAGGAGGGGCAGGCGGAAGUCCUGGUGUAGCGGUGAAAUGCGUAGAUAUCAGGAGGAACACCGGUGGCGAAGGCGGCCUGCUGGACUGCAACUGACGUUGAGGCCCGAAAGCGUGGGGAGCAAACAGGAUUAGAUACCCGAGUAGUC